UACGUAGGGUGCAAGCGUUGUCCGGAAUUAUUGGGCGUAAAGAGCUCGUAGGCGGUUUGUCGCGUCUGCUGUGAAAACUCGGGGCUUAACUCCGGGCCUGCAGUGGGUACGGGCAGGCUGGAGGCAGGCAGGGGAGAACGGAAUUCCCGGUGUAGCGGUGAAAUGCACAGAUAUCGGGAGGAACACCGGUGGCGAAGGCGGUUCUCUGGGCCUGUACUGACGCUGAGGAGCGAAAGCGUGGGGAGCGAACAGG
rnacentral:rRNA from 1 species